rnacentral:tRNA from 1 species
GGUUGCUAAGUUCUUGAUUGUUAAGGGAAUUCUAGUCCCUUACAAGGCGUAGGUCGGGGGUUCGAGCCCCUCAGCACCCACCA